rnacentral:siRNA from 1 species
AAAGCAUGUUUGAUGGGUCUCGUU